UUUCCAUUGGAGAGUUUGAUCCUGGCUCAGGACGAACGCUGGCGGCGUGCUUAACACAUGCAAGUCGAACGGAAAGGCCCUGCUUUUGUGGGGUGCUCGAGUGGCGAACGGGUGAGUAACACGUGAGUAACCUGCCCUUGACUUUGGGAUAACUUCAGGAAACUGGGGCUAAUACCGGAUAGGAGCUCCUGCUGCAUGGUGGGGGUUGGAAAGUUUCGGCGGUUGGGGAUGGAC
rnacentral:rRNA from 1 species